rnacentral:rRNA from 1 species
CAGACUCCUACGGGAGGCAGCAGUAGGGAAUCUUCCGCAAUGGGCGAAAGCCUGACGGAGCAACGCCGCGUGAGUGAUGAAGGUCUUCGGAUCGUAAAACUCUGUUAUUAGGGAAGAACAAAUGUGUAAGUAACUAUGCACGUCUUGACGGUACCUAAUCAGAAAGCCACGGCUAACUACGUGCCAGCAGCCGCGGUAAUACGUAGGUGGCAAGCGUUAUCCGGAAUUAUUGGGCGUAAAGCGCGCGUAGGCGGUUUUUUAAGUCUGAUGUGAAAGCCCACGGCUCAACCGUGGAGGGUCAUUGGAAACUGGAAAACUUGAGUGCAGAAGAGGAAAGUGGAAUUCCAUGUGUAGCGGUGAAAUGCGCAGAGAUAUGGAGGAACACCAGUGGCGAAGGCGACUUUCUGGUCUGUAACUGACGGGUGAUGUGCGAAAGCGUGGGGAUCAAACAGGAUUAGAUACCCUGGUAGUCC